CUCAAUUGACCUAUUAGUCCUGCCUCAUUUUAAGCUUUGCACACCUCCUCUCCUGCAACUGGGGCCAUUUCAUCUCUUUCAAUGGCCCGGCAUCAUCAUCGCUGUAUGCAGGCCUGACCUCAGGCAGAAGGGAGUGAGGCAGCAUGACAUAGGAUGAAGCAGAAAGGCACUGGGGGAUCAUGACUGCUUCCCAGACCUUAGUCUCAGGAUGCCACACCGGAAGAGCUGGACCCCACAUUUGAAGACAGAUGUCCCUGGCGGUGCCCGCCUGCUCUGUAAAGAGCUAGUCCCAGGCUCCCAUUGUGACCUAGCACCUCAACCUCUCCUGACCCUUUUGCCUAGGCCAGAUCCUGAGAUCGGAGAGUACAUACAUCUCCCUGGGGCUUGCUUUCCUCUCCCAUAAAAUUUAGGAGUUGGGGAUGAUCUUAUCCCUCUACCUAGACUGUAGACUCCUGGGAGCGGGAGGCAAGGCACUCACAAGCAAGGGCAUCAGAGUGACAUCAAGACACAAACAGCCAUGGAAUCUUGGGAACAGAUCAAGGAGUCCACCUCUUAAAAUAUUGUAAAAAAUAAAAUCUGAGUACGAAUGUUGGUGAAAAG
rnacentral:lncRNA from 10 species